AUAUUUUGGGCGUAAAGCGUCUUUAGGUGGCUUUUCAAGUCCAACGUCAAAUCCCAGGGCUCAACCUGGACACGUGGUGGAAACUACCAAGCUGGAGUAUGGUAUGGGCAGAGAAAAUCUCCUGUGAAGCGGUGAAGUGUAUUGAGAUCGGAUAGAACACCAACGAUGAAAGCACUCUGCUGGUCCUUUUGGGUUUCAUUGACCAAACAUAUACGCUUUGGGCUAUGGUUAGCUCAGCUCC
rfam:Triticum aestivum genome assembly, contig: Triticum_aestivum_CS42_TGACv1_scaffold_500004_6BL